rnacentral:rRNA from 1 species
AACGAACGCUGGCGGCAGGCCUAACACAUGCAAGUCGAGCGCUCACCUUCGGGUGGGAGCGGCGCACGGGUGAGUAACACGUGGGAACCUACCUUGAAGUACGGAAUAACUGAGGGAAACUUCAGCUAUUACCGUAUACGCCCUACGGGGGAAAGAUUUAUCGCUUCAAGACGGGCCCGCGUUGGAUUAGCUAGUUGGUGAGGUAAUGGCUCACCAAGGCAACGAUCCAUAGCUGAUUUGAGAGAAUGAUCAGCCACACUGGGACUGAGACACGGCCCAGACUCCUACGGGAGGCAGCAGUGGGGAAUAUUGGACAAUGGGCGCAAGCCUGAUCCAGCCAUGCCGCGUGAGUGAUGAAGGCCUUCGGGUUGUAAAGCUCUUUCAGAUGGGACGAUGAUGACGGUACCAUCAGAAGAAGCCCCGGCUAACUUCGUGCCAGCCGCCGCAGUAAUAC